rnacentral:rRNA from 1 species
AUUGAACGCUGGCGGCAGGCCUAACACAUGCAAGUCGAGCGAGCGGCGGACGGGUGAGUAAUGUAUGGGGACUGCCCGAUAGCGGGGGAUAACUACUGGAAACGGUAGCUAAUACCGCAUACUAUCGGAUAACCCAUAUGGGAUUAGCUAGUAGGUGAGGUAAUGGCUCACCUAGGCGACGAUCCCUAGCUGGUCUGAGAGGUUGAUCAGCAACACUGGGACGGAGACACGGCCCAGACUCCUACGGAGGCAGCAGUGGGGAAUAUUGCACAAUGGGCGAAAGCCUGAUGCAGCAAUGCCGCGUGAAUGAAGAAGGCCCUAGGUUUGUAAAGCACUGUCAGUCGGGAGGCGUUACCGAAAGAAAAAGCACCGGCUAACUCCGUGCCAGCAGCCGCGGUAAUAC